rnacentral:rRNA from 1 species
AGUGAACGCUGGCGGUAGACCUAACACAUGCAAGUCGAACGGCAGCACAGUAAGAGCUUGCUCUUACGGGUGGCGAGUGGCGGACGGGUGAGGAAUACAUCGGAAUCUACUUUUUCGUGGGGGAUAACGUAGGGAAACUUACGCUAAUACCGCAUACGACCUACGGGUGAAAGCAGGGGAUCUUCGGACCUUGCGCGAUUGAAUGAGCCGAUGUCGGAUUAGCUAGUUGGCGGGGUAAAGGCCCACCAAGGCGACGAUCCGUAGCUGGUCUGAGAGGAUGAUCAGCCACACUGGAACUGAGACACGGUCCAGACUCCUACGGGAGGCAGCAGUGGGGAAUAUUGGACAAUGGGCGCAAGCCUGAUCCAGCCAUACCGCGUGGGUGAAGAAGGCCUUCGGGUUGUAAAGCCCUUUUGUUGGGAAAGAAAAGCAGCAGGUUAAUACCCCGCUGUUCUGACGGUUCCCAAAGAAUAAGCACCGGCUAACUUCGUG